rnacentral:tmRNA from 2 species
GGGGCUGUAAUGGUUUCGACGUUUUAGUGAACACUACUUUGUGAUUCAGGCCGAGAGCGAGUCCACUCUCGUAAAUCAAGACUCAAAAAAAAAGUAAAUGCGAACAACAUCGUACCUUUUGCUCGUAAAGCGGCACCUGUUGCUGCCUAAUAACGCCUCUUAACCGGCUCGAGCGUCUGCAGUGUGACUCCGUUAAGGGCUGUGGACAAAAACCAACGGAUGCUCUAGUGGGCUGCCUCUGGUCAACCACUAGCUAAGACUUUACCAGAGCAUCCUACCGUCCGGGAUAAUGGACGGUUCCCGCUUCAAGGGUUAGAGAAGCUACGCCUGUGAACGAGUGAAGUACCAAUAGCUGAGGCGGACACGGGUUCGACUCCCGUCAGCUCCAUUU